GUGUGCCUACGGGAGGCAGCAGUGGGGAAUAUUGCGCAAUGGGGGCAACCCUGACGCAGCAACGCCGCGUGCAGGAAGAAGGUCUUCGGAUUGUAAACUGUUGUCGCAGGGGAAGAAGACAGUGACGGUACCCUGUGAGAAAGUCACGGCUAACUACGUGCCAGCAGCCGCGGUAAUACGUAGGUGACAAGCGUUGUCCGGAUUUACUGGGUGUAAAGGGCGCGUAGGCGGGAUAGGCAAUCAGUCGUGAAAUGCCGAGGCUUAACC
rnacentral:rRNA from 1 species